GGAGUUUGGUCCGUGUCUCAGUACCAAUGUGGGGGACCUUCCUCUCAGAACCCCUACUGAUCGUUGCCUCGGUGGGCCGUUACCCCGCCGACAAGCUAAUCAGACGCAUCCCCAUCCCUUACCGAUGAAUCUUUGCUCCUCAUCUGAUGCCAUCAAAGGAGAACAUAGAGUAUUAAUCCGACUUUCGCCGGGCUAUCCUCUAGUAAGGGGAAGGUUGGAUACGCGUUACUCACCCGUGCGCCGGUCGCCAUCAAAGUUUAGUCAAGCAAACUUACAUGCUGCCCCUCGACUUGCAUGUGUUAAGCCUGUAGCUAGCGUUCAUC
rnacentral:rRNA from 1 species